AGUGAUCCGGUGGUUCUGAAUGGAAGGGCCAUCGCUCAACGGAUAAAAGGUACUCCGGGGAUAACAGGCUGAUACCGCCCAAGAGUUCAUAUCGACGGCGGUGUUUGGCACCUCGAUGUCGGCUCAUCACAUCCUGGGGCUGAAGUAGGUCCCAAGGGUAUGGCUGUUCGCCAUUUAAAGUGGUACGCGAGCUGGGUUUAGAACGUCGUGAGACAGUUCGGUCCCUAUCUGCCGUGGGCGCUGGAGAACUGAGGGGGGCUGCUCCUAGUACGAGAGGACCGGAGUGGACGCAUCACUGGUGUUCGGGUUGUCAUGCCAAUGGCACUGCCCGGUAGCUAAAUGCGGAAGAGAUAAGUGCUGAAAGCAUCUAAGCACGAAACUUGC
rnacentral:rRNA from 1 species